rnacentral:rRNA from 1 species
GAUGAACGCUGGCGGCGUGCCUAAUACAUGUAAGUCGAGCGAACAGAUAAGGAGCUUGCUCCUUUGACGUUAGCGGCGGACGGGUGAGUAACACGUGGGUAACCUAUCUAUAAGACUGGAAUAACUCCGGGAAACCGGGGCUAAUGCCGGAUAACAUGUUGAACCGCAUGGUUCUACAGUGAAAGGCGGCUUUGCUGUCACUUAUAGAUGGACCCGCGCCGUAUUAGCUAGUUGGUGAGGUAACGGCUCACCAAGGCAACGAUACGUAGCCGACCUGAGAGGGGGAUCGGCCACACUGGAACUGAGACACGGUCCAGACUCCUGCGGGGGGCAGCAGUAGGGAAUCUUCCGCAAUGGGCGAAAGCCUGACGGAGCAACGCCGCGUGAGUGAUGAAGGUCUUCGGAUCGUAAAACUCUGUUAUUAGGGAAGAACAAAUGCGUAAGUAACUGUGCGCGUCUUGACGGUACCUAAUCAGAAAGCCACGGCUAACUACGUG